rnacentral:rRNA from 1 species
UGAGUAAACUUAAUUAAUAAAUUAAAACUUUUAACAACGGAUCUCUUGGUUCUGGCAUCGAUGAAGAACGCAGCGAAAUGCGAUAAGUAAUGUGAAUUGCAGAAUUCAGUGAAUCAUCGAAUCUUUGAACGCACAUUGCGCCCCCUGGUAUUCCGGGGGGCAUGCCUGUUCGAGCGUCAUUUCACCACUCAAGCCUCGCUUGGUAUUGGGCAACGCGGUCCGCCGCGUGCCUCAAAUCGUCCGGCUGGGUCUUCUGUCCCCUAAGCGUUGUGGAAACUAUUCGCUAAAGGGUGUUCGGGAGGCUACGCCGUAAAACAACCCCAUUUCUAAGGUUGACCUCGGAUCAGGUAGGGAUACCCGCUGAACUUAAGCAUAUCAAUAAGCGGAGGAAAAGAAACCAACAGGGAUUGCUCUAGUAACGGCGAGUGAAGCAGCAAUAGCUCAAAUUUGAAAUCUGGCGUCUUCGACGUCCGAGUUGUAAUUUGUAGAGGAUGCUUCUGAGUGGCCACCGACCUAAGUUCCUUGGAACAGGACGUCAUAGAGGGUGAGAAUCCCGUAUGCGGUCGGAAAGGCGCUCUAUACGUAGCUCCUUCGACGAGUCGAGUUGUUUGGGAAUGCAGCUCUAAAUGGGAGGUAAAUUUCUUCUAAAGCUAAAUAUUGGCCAGAGACCGAUAGCGCACAAGUAGAGUGAUCGAAAGAUGAAAAGCACUUUGGAAAGAGAGUUAAAAAGCACGUGAAAUUGUUAAAAGGGAAGGGAUUGCAACCAGACUUGCUCGCGGUGUUCCGCCGGUCUUCUGACCGGUCUACUCGCCGCGUUGCAGGCCAGCAUCGUCUGGUGCCGCUGGAUAAGACUUGAGGAAUGUAGCUCCCUCGGGAGUGUUAUAGCCUCUUGUGAUGCAGCGAGCGCCGGGCGAGGUCCGCGCUCGGCUAGG